rnacentral:lncRNA from 1 species
AUUUGUUUGGAGAAUGGGGAGAGGAAGCACCUGGAACACAGAAUGGAAACGACUAUCUUGUGGUCACCCAAGGAGUCAAUGUGGAUUCAGGAUCCCCUCUUUAGCUCUCCUGGCUUCAAAGGAAUUGCAGACCUCUUGUCAGAAGAAGCUCAGAGCUGGAUGGAACCUUAGAGGCCAUUUAGUCCAAGCUGUAUUUGAAGAUGAAUCUCCUUCUACAGUAUGCCAUUUUUCCUGGACAAAGAGCUCCCUCCUGGGUGAUACCAUUCCACAGUGGAACAACUAUAACUCUUGGGAAGUUUUCCCUGACACUGAGCUGAAAUUGGCCUCUGGGUGACUUCUGUCCCUUUCUCAUAC